AUGGCUCAGGAUGAACGCUAGCGACAGGCUUAACACAUGCAAGUCGAGGGGCAGCAUAAAAGUAGCAAUACUUGGUGGCGACCGGCGCACGGGUGAGUAACGCGUAUGCAACCUACCGUAUCAGACGGGGAAUAACCCGGCGAAAGUCGGACUAAUACCGCAUAAAACAGGGACACCGCAUGGUGAUAUUUGUUAAAGAAAUUCGCUGAUAGAUGGGCAUGCGUUCCAUUAGGUAGUUGGUGAGGUAACGGCUCACCAAGCCGACGAUGGAUAGGGGAACUGAGAGGUUGGUCCCCCACACUGGUACUGAGACACGGACCAGACUCCUACGGGAGGCAGCAGUGAGGAAUAUUGGUCAAUGGGCGGGAGCCUGAACCAGCCAAGUCGCGUGAAAGGAAGAAGGAUCUAUGGUUCGUAAACUUCUUUUGCAGGGGAAUAAAGUGCAGGACGUGUCCUGUUUUGUAUGUACCCUGAGAAUAAGGAUCGGCUAACUCCGUGCCAGCAGCCGC
rnacentral:rRNA from 1 species